GAUGAACGCUGGCGGCGUGCCUAAUACAUGCAAGUCGAGCGAACAGACGAGGAGCUUGCUCCUCUGACGUUAGCGGCGGACGGGUGAGUCACACGUGGAUAACCUACCUAUAAGACUGGGAUAACUUCGGGAAACCGGAGCUAAUACCGGAUAAUAUAUUGAACCGCAUGGUUCAAUAGUGAAAGACGGUUUUGCUGUCACUUAUAGAUGGAUCCGCGCCGCAUUAGCUAGUUGGUAAGGUAACGGCUUACCAAGGCAACGAUGCGUAGCCGACCUGAGAGGGUGAUCGGCCACACUGGAACUGAGACACGGUCCAGACUCCUACGGGAGGCAGCAGUAGGGAAUCUUCCGCAAGGGGCGAAAGCCUGACGGAGCAACGCCGCGUGAGUGAUGAAGGUCUUCGGAUCGUAAAACUCUGUUAUUAGGGAAGAACAAAUGUGUAAGUAACUAGGCACGUCUUGACGGUACCUAAUCAGAAAGCCACGGCUAACUACGGG
rnacentral:rRNA from 1 species